GUUGAGUAUGCACAGUANCGCUUUGUGAAAUACUUGAGAAUCAAGUUAUACUGCAUAAGUCGGGAACCCGAGAGUGGCUCUAGCUACGAGAAGAAGAGCUUGUGUCCUAUCAGCUAUUGUGGGGUAAAGGCCUACCAAGGCGAACGGGUAAUCGGCUGAAGGUGUACGACCACAUGGGACUGAACACGGCAUACUCCCUACGGGAGGCAGCAGUGGGGAAUAUUUGCACAAUGGGCGAAAGCCUGAUGCAGCGACGCCGCGUGGAGGAAGAAGGUCUUCGGAUUGUAAACUCCUGUUGAGUGGGAAGAAAGACGGUUGGUUAAUACCCAAUGGGAUGACGGUACACUCGAGGAAGCACCGGCAACUUCGUGCCAGCAGCCGGGUAAUACAAGGGUGCGAGCGUUAUUCGGAGUUAUGGGCGUAAGGGCGCGUAGCGGUCUGUAAUCAUGUUAAAACUCUUCGGGUUUAACCGGAGAAAAAAAGGCAGGGUGAAUUACUGGAUAGGGUUAGAGGGACCGAAGAAGAGAAAGUUGGGAUUCCUCCGGNAGUUAGCGGGGUAAAAAUGCGUAAAUUCUCGAGAAGGGAACACCCGUUGGGAAA
rnacentral:rRNA from 1 species